rnacentral:rRNA from 1 species
AAUGAACGUUGGCGGCGUGGAUUAGGCAUGCAAGUCGCGCGAGAAGCGUAGCAAUACGUGGAAAGCGGCGUAAGGGAGAGUAAUCCAUGGUUAGCUACCCUCGGGACUGGGAUAGCGGCGGGAAACUGCCGGUAAUACCAGAUGACAUCUUCGGAUCAAAGGUGUGAAUCCGCCCGGGGAGGCGACCAUGUCCUAUCAGCUUGUUGGCGGGGUAACGGCCCACCAAGGCAAAACGGGUAUGGGGCGUGAGAGCGUGCCCCCACCU